rnacentral:rRNA from 1 species
CGCCAGACUCCUACGGGAGGCAGCAGUGGGGAAUAUUGCACAAUGGGGGAAACCCUGAUGCAGCGACGCCGCGUGAGCGAUGAAGUAUUUCGGUAUGUAAAGCUCUAUCAGCAGGGAAGAAGAUGACGGUACCUGACUAAGAAGCCCCGGCUAACUACGUGCCAGCAGCCGCGGUAAUACGUAGGGGGCAAGCGUUAUCCGGAUUUACUGGGUGUAAAGGGGGCGUAGACGGCGGUGCAAGCCAGAUGUGAAAGCCCGGGGCUCAACCCCGGGACUGCAUUUGGAACUGUAUGGCUGGAGUGUCGGAGAGGCAGGCGGAAUUCCUAGUGUAGCGGUGAAAUGCGUAGAUAUUAGGAGGAACACCAGUGGCGAAGGCGGCCUGCUGGACGAUGACUGACGUUGAGGCUCGAAAGCGUGGGGAGCAAACAGGAUUAGAUACCCCUGUA